GUGCCAGCCGCCGCGGUAAUACAGAGGGUGCUAACGUUGUUCGGAAUCACUGGGCUUAAAGCGCACGUAGGCGGCUAGGCAAGUGCGAUGUGAAAGCCCCCGGCCCAACCGGGGAACUGCAUCGUAGACUGCCUGGCUUGAGAGCGGUAGGGGAGACUAGAACUCCUGGUGGAGCGGUGAAAUGCGUAGAUAUCAGGAGGAAUACCGGUGGCGAAGGCGAGUCUCUGGUCCGCUUCUGACGCUCAGGUGCGAAAGCUAGGGGAGCAAACGGGAUUAGAUACCCGCGUAGUCC
rnacentral:rRNA from 1 species